GUGGCCCCCUGUAAGCCAAGGACAGAGGCCUUGAAACCAAGCCUGCCAGCACCUUCAUCUCAGACUUCAGCUCCCAAAACUGUGAGGAAGUAUAUUUCUGUUGUCUGAGCCACCCACUCUCUGGCACUUUGUUACAGUGGCCCUAGCAAAUUAAUAUAGAAACUAAGGUCUGGUAAGAAAAAACAAAAACAAACCAUGCAUUGGUAGGAGACUUAUUCGGUCUCUGUGAUGAGUUGCUUCCCUCGGUGAUUUUUGCCCUAUACGUUUGUCCUAUCACCUUACCUCUCGAAGCUUCUGCCAAGCCAGACUCUUUUUGGCAUCUUUCUCUAUGACGGGAUCUCACUCAGAAAGAUGCUUUCUGCAUCUUGCACAGUUCGGAAGUCUCUGGAGUGGUGAAUUGGCGUGGCCUUCAUUGGUGGCAGAGGCGCCAGCCCCUACAGAGAGAGAGGCUGGGCACCUGAGAACUUGCACCUUAUUCGGCAUUCCCUGAGCACUGUCACUCUCAGCUUUUCUAGCCCACCCUCUUUGGGGAGCUGCAGCAAUCUUGCUUGAAAUGUGUUUUGCCCCUGUUUUCACAGGAGGUAAAUGUGGCAUGUAAAUGCAUUUUUAAUGACUCAGAUCUGCAUUUGAAAGUACUUUCCAGCUUUGCUGGGUCAUUAAACCUUUAAAUUCUUUAAUAUUUUAAUGAUUUUUAUAGUCCAGCGAUGUGUAGGUUUGUUCAAGUUUGCACCCUCCUCCUGCUUCCUUGCCCGCAAGAUGCUCCAGCAAGAGCUCACCAAAGGCUUAUUGAACACACGGCCCUGUUCUGACCGGGUCCUUUCUUGGCAGCCAGUCCCCUGCACUGGCAGUCACCCUAGCAGAGGCUUAUCAUCUGCUCUUUCUAGCAGAGGCUCAUCUUACUCAGGCUUAGGUUCUAAAGGCAGUUAGGAUGGUCCAAAUGACCUUUGGAAAUCUGCUCAGAAGUUGCCAUGUUGGAGAUCAUGAAACCAUUUCCCGGUAAGUCCAGUGGGUCCAGCUAUCCCUCCAGUGUUGGAACAGAAUAUGGUCUUUUCAGUGGAGUCCCCAGUAAGGAUUGGCCUGUGUCCAGGGGCUAUGCUACACCAGGCCUGGCUAGUUCUUACACAAUGAGAAGAAGGCAGAAACCAAGACCUACUGGGAACAGCAGAUUCAUAUCCAUUCACUGAGUGGAAAUGUAGGCAGAAUUACCUGUAUUAUUUAAAUAGUGCUCUCUUCCCCCAGCCCCCAACCUCCUCUCUCUCUCUCUUUCUCCCUCUCUCCCUCUUUAGUUUUGCCGAACACACGUGUAGCAUGGCUCAGUACAAUAUGGCAGACGGAAUACUCCCUGGGGUCCAGGAUGAGAGACUGCAAAGUUCGUUCAGCCACAAGCAUUUUGGAGAAUGCUAAGGCCAAGGCAGACUCUGCAAGCAAAUAGAAGUCAUUGCUCUCUCUUAGGUUCAGUUUACUCACCUGUAAGAUGCAUGUUUCAGGAUUGGAUGAUCCCGAGGCUCCCUUCUGGAGCUUCUGACAUGGGCAAGUUCAAACUCAGGCUCUCAGCUGAGGAAGACUAGCCACCUAGGACAGCCGUAAUAACCCAGGGUGCUAGGAAAGCGCUGGCCCAUUCCCCUGCACUGCCCGGAAAUGUCCUAAGACAGAAUUUGGUAGAAGGGAGAACAAAGCUAAGCAAUGAGUUCUGUAGGAGAAUGCCUGCUAAUUCACCCUGCUUGCCUCCAAUGCCUCUUCAGCAAAUCUUUUUUUGUUUUAAGAAUUUUUUUUUAUUUGAGAGAAAGAGUGAGCAGGAGGGGGAGGGAGAAUCUCGAGCAGAGUCCAUGCUGAGCACAGAGCCUGAUGCAGGGCUCGAUCUCACACUGCAAGACCAUUACCUGAACCCAAGAGUCGGACACUUAACCGACUGAGCCCACCCAAGAGCCACCAGGUCAGCAAAUCUUGAUUUUGCACCUGGUACAGACACGACCGGGUGCUCUGUAUUGGAAAGGUAAAGGCAGGUAAACUGUCCCUGUCAUUGUGGAACUCCCAAUCUUGGUAUAAUUUUGAGUGUUUUAUCACAAGUGAGAAAGCUGAGCAUUUUUUGUUUGGGGGUAAAAUCCACUAGGACAAACUAGGGUGUAUAUCAGAAAAACUUUCUGCCUUUAAUUAAUUUCCAAAUGCAUAUCCCUUUGGGGGCUGUGGAAAUCAUUAGUGCUUGUCACCAAAUAUUUCUGUUCUCCUUCUACUGACCACAUAGUAGGUUAUAUUUUUCUGAGCCACUGAAGUUGAGCAUGGCUGUGUGACUUGCUUUGUCAAUGAAAGAUGAACGGCACCGUAUGUUUUACUUCCAGGCAAAAGCCUUAUAAGCCAUCACAAUGCUCCCCUGUGGUUCUUCCCCCUGCCAUCCCACAUAACCAGCAAUGUUCCAAGUAGUGGAAGCUCACAAGCCUGUGUCUCUCCAUGAGGACAAAAUGGCAAUAUAAACCUGGCAGACACAGGGUGGACAUGUAGUAUGAGCAAGUUGUGUUAAGCCAUGGAGUGACAGAUAUGUGAAGUGCAUGGAAAUGAAAUUCAGGAGAUUUGGUUUUCCUGUCAUAUUUUUCUUAAAGUUUUUUAUGCUUUUUAGGAAUUCAGGAGAGCUGAACAUCUGUAUGAAUUAGCAAAUAUAGAAGUUGCUGAGCACUCAGAAUGGAACUGCUUUGUGGAAUCCUUGUCUUUUUUCUCAACCUAGAUCCACCUUCUUGGACUCACCCCCACCAUGCCCCCACCCUUCUGGCCAUUGGAGCUCAUCCUGUCCCUUGCCACACAUCAGUUUCCAGGUGACACUCUGCUUUGCUACAGGAAGAAACACACAUGCACCACCACCCCACCCCACCCCCGCCUUUAAUUUCUGUGGCAGGUAGUGGUGAUAAUUUUCGAAGGGGAUGACUCACUGGGGAGGAGUGGAAAAUGUUUCCUUCUUCCCCCACUAUAGGAGGGCUGGGUCCUCUGUGACUCUGACAGCUUCGGAGUCUUACCCUCCACUACUGUGGUGGGAGAAAAGAUUACUAAAAGUUCUCUGAUAACAGGAAAGAGGAGGGAAUGUCACCCAAAAGAGAGAGGGAGGGAUUUAGAAAGAAGGGAGAAGCCAAAGGAAAGGGAAAGACUCUUUUGAGGGGCAUUUUGACAGGAUCGGCGAUCUGUCUGGGGCCUGGGAAAUAGCAGAAUCAGUAAAUGGUAAAAGAAUCUCUGGUUCCAGAAGAGUAGCUGGACCAGAGACCCACCAUCCCACGGUUUCACCAAAAAGCCGUGGGAGGUGUUGGUCACCUAAUGUAGGGGUGAGGAAGUACCUCCAAUCACCACCCGCCUACCUCCAGCCAUGCUAACCCCAGUAGAGGCCCUGCCCCAUGAUUGCUGCCCCCUUGCAGCCAAGCCACAGGGCCCGACAGCCCCAAGCCAGAGGGCCUGGGAUUUUCCCAAGUCUCAUCUCCCUACAUCCCCACAGCUCCCACAAGUCAGAGCUGGAUCUAUAAGGCGCAGCCAAGUUGAGGACCCUACAAUGGAUACUGAAGAGAAGUUGACUGAGGGAAGUCCAGGAGUCGAGAAUGUUUUAACUGGGCAGCUUGUCUGCCUUGUUUAACGAGUAACCAUACUGAACGUUAAGGGUUCUUUGAUUUGGAAACAUCUCUGCACGCUUGAGAGACGGUGCAAUGGGGCUGCCUCCUGCCCUGCACAGUAUCUAAUGGGGCUGCUGGAGGCAGAGUGGAGAGGCCUUGGUUAACAGCUGUGAUUGGUGACCUUGAUUUUAGUCACCGGCUGAGUGACUUUAAAGCAGGAAGUGAGGAGGCCAUUCCCUCCCUGUCCCUCCUUCAAGGGCUCGCCCAGGACUGAAUAAUGAGUGCAUUAAAUGCAGCUCUUCUCUGCCCACCUGUGCUCCCCCUUUUGCCCCUUUACUUUCACGAAUUCUGACCCCUGGUACCCAAAGCCCUGAGUGUAUGAAUACUCCCCUCAGAGAAUCUGCUUCUUUUAACAGAUUGGGAGGAGCAGAGCCAUCCGGGCAGGUCUGUUCAUGCGGGAAGCAGACAGAUGCCUUCAAAUCCCACUCAGAUGCCAGACCCCUUAGGGUCUCAGUGGGGAGACAGGCCUGGCUCUGCUUGGAAGCAAGUCAUAAAGAAGGCAGGCUUGCUUUGUCGACGUAUCACCUCAAAACAGAGGAAGCUAUUCUGGAGCAAAGAAGCCAGAGAGAGUUGUCAAUGGAAAGAGGGGUGGAGAGAAGCCUGGUGGAGUGACAAAUGCCUGGGCCUGUGAAGUGCUUCCACACACUGAAGAGCCAGGCCCGGCUGGAGCCAGGGCAUCCCCGAAAGCCCGGGUGAGGCCGUCCUGGGGUGUGCUCCUCGUUUCCUGUUGCAGCCCAUCUCCACACACGAGCGAGCGGCUGCGGAACAACGGCUUGCAGUGACUCAGCUUUAUAAAUAGGACAUUCGUAGCGAAGAGUAUAGGAAAUUCCCAGAGUCUGCUGCCUGGCCUUAUUUUGGGUGUGCAGUUCACACAAGUGAAGUCCCAGCCUCCCUCCCCACAGCCUCCUCGGGGGCUUGAUUGCAGGCGCAUCUCCUCUGCUUUGUGACCUUGUGACCGGAAAUGUCCCGGGGGAGGGCUGAGAGGCACAGGGGAUGGAGGUGUCCACCUGGGACCUUGUUCAGACGCCGUGGGAGAGAGGAGCGAACACUGGCCUCAGGGUCCCCGCGCCCAGCCCGCAGAGCUCCUCGUCUGCCUUGUCUCACUGACUCUCGCUUACUCCCCCGAGGAAGGUGUGUCAUUAUUCCUAUUUGGUAGAUAAAGAAACUGGAAUCCAAACCCACAUCUGACUAAUCCUGGAUCUCAAGGCUGAACCGCAGACCCAGCCUCUCCUAAGCAUAGAAUAAGAAGGCAGAAGGAUGAUAGGGAUGAUAGUAAAGGAGAGCCUUCUGUUUUCAGGAGACAAGGAUGGGAGAAGGGUGCCAGUACCCUGACCUUCUGGUGAUACUGCUUUUUUCCUUCUUUCCCUCAGUGACAUCUUCCUUGGUAGGGGGCUGUUUGUGGAAGCUCAAAGACUUGAGCUUUGAGUGGUUCAAUGGCCCCUGCUGUAGCUGGGUUUAAAGAAUCUGAGAGGGUGUCUACACAGAGGCAGGAGGUUCUGCAACAGAGAGGGUGGGGGAGAAGUCAGGGCAUUGCAGGUUUAGGACCUGAAUGCUAUUCAAAUAUUUGCCCAACAACUCCCAGUGCUUUGGAAUAAGUGGCAGGAGCGGCCCUGCUGAGUCACUGGAUGCUGAGGCAUUAAACAGAAAUGUGAUAGCACGCCUCUAAUGACUUCCAACCUCUCCUUCCUUGUAAUGAGCCAACGUCUCCCUCACCAAGGGGCCUCCUUACAAGGAGAGGCCUCUGCUUCUAGGCUGCCAGACAAGGUGGCACCUUCCACCUUUCUGGUAUGGAGUUGGCACGCCCAUGACUUCAUCAGGUGGCUGGGACUGCCAACACUGUUCCGAGCUCCAGAACUAUAUUUCCAAUAAUCUAUGAAGUUUUUCCUCUUAGAUGCCCCCAAGUCUUCCGAUUUCAAGUUCAUAAUAGAACACUCCAGACUUUUCUUCCUGUAUUCUCCCUUUUAGUUAAUGACCUCACUUUCACCUAGUCACUGUAGUUAGCAAAUGCUGAAUCAUCUUUAUUUCCUUGGCUCCACUCCUCCUCCUGCUUUCCCUGUGUAACUGAUCCUCACGGCCUUCAUGAGGGCCCCCAGUUUCCCCCACCACCUGGAGUACAAGCAGGUACUGGGUCCUGGCCACGGUGCCCUUUUCUGACCAGGGUGUGUACCUGACCCAAGCCAAGCCCAUCAAAGCCCUUUCCCAGGAUUUUUCAAGUGGCAACAGGGAGUUGGAUCACCCCAUCCCUUUCCUUUCUGGUUACCAGCUGGGAGGCCUGUGGUCAUGUGCUCUGCUGCCUGGAAAAAGUCCAUCCACAGCAGGAUGGGAGACCAUGCUGAUGAAUGAUGGCAAGAGAACUCCUGAACAGAUGGAGUUCCUUAUUCAGCCUCCCCGAGUCCGCACUGUGGCCUCUCUCCAACUCACCCUCUGCAGGGUCACCAGGAUUCUCUACUGUUGUUUCCAACCUGUUGUCUUAAAAAAAAAAAAAAAAAAUCUAACUACAGGGAAGUUUACAGAAUUAUUCAAUGAACACCCAUACAUU